AUGAAACAUAUACUGAAGAAACUGAGUCAAAGUCGAGGUCUGUGUUAUGUCCAAAUCAAGUUGAGAGUUUCUAUCUCUCUUUUUGGGUUACUUAUGUGAUUUCAAUCUAUUUGUUAAUCCCUAAAAGAGAAUUUAGGGUUUUUACCCCACCGGUGAAUAUAUGAACUUACGUAUUGCUAGAUUUCAAACUUAAUUUAUUUGUUGUGGCCGCCUCUAACGUGGUGGUGCCUCUCUCGGAGAAAGGUUGCUCGCAGGUUGCAAUGAAGUGCAAGGACGGGAUGUACGAGAAAGUGAAGAAAGAAGUACAGAAUUGCGAGACAUCAAUUGAAUGGAAUGAGACAGUGGUGAAGAGUUUCUCUGCGAAUGGAUAUGGUCAAAGAGAACCAAGCUUGACUGAAAGAGAUAAAUUGGAAGGUGAAUUGUCUUCUUCCCGUGGUUCAUAACAAUGAGGU